rnacentral:rRNA from 10 species
GCUUACGGCCAUACCACCUUAGGCACGCCCGAUCUCGUCUGAUAUCGGAAGCUAAGCAGGGUCGGGGCUGGUUAGUACUUGGAUGGGUGACCGCCUGGGAAUACCUGGUGCUGUAAGCA